AUGUUGCAAUGCAGCCUGGAGAAUGGACACCGCAACGUGCCUGAGCGGCCGGUGAUCGGUGCCGGAGAACGUCUCGUCGUCCCGACAAUGCCAGUGCUGCCAGUGGACGUCAAGGAAGGGAUCAAGAUUGGCGGCGGCGGCGCCAAGAAGAGGCGGCGCGGCCCGCCGGUGCUGAUGGAAGGGUCGCGGUGCAGCCGCGUCAACGGGCGCGGGUGGCGCUGCAGCCAGCCCACGCUGGUCGGCUACUCCCUCUGCGAGCACCACCUCGGCAAGGGCCGCGGGCAGCGGAGCGCGAGCCGCGCCGAGCCCGGCAGGAGCUGGACGAACGGCGCGGCCACGCUCGGCCGCACCGAGCCCAGCAUCAGGAAGAAGGCCGCGCAGCCGUCCGUUCCCGUGGUCACCAACGGCCGCGCGGGCGCGCCCAAGCUCGGCCACACCGAGCCGACCAGCAGCAGGAAGAACGUCGACGCGCUGGCCGUGGUCGCCGCCGUGGCGCACGACGCCAGGGACCUGCCGAGCCUGCGCGCCGCACCUCUAGCGGCGGAAGUCGAUUGA
rnacentral:rRNA from 1 species